UUACUGAGUUUUUAACUCUCCAAACCAUGUGAACUUACCACUGUUGCCUCGGUGGUCGGUGCUGGAAACAGUGCUGCCACCGGUGGACUACUAAACUCUUGUUAAUUUUUGUCAAAUCUGAAUCAAACUAAGAAAUAAGUUAAAACUUUCAACAACGGAUCUCUUGGUUCUGGCAUCGAUGAAGAACGCAGCGAAAUGCGAUAAGUAAUGUGAAUUGCAGAAUUCAGUGAAUCAUCGAAUCUUUGAACGCACAUUGCGCCCAUUAGUAUUCUAGUGGGCAUGCCUGUUCGAGCGUCAUUUCAACCCUUAAGCCUAGCUUAGUGUUGGGAGACUGCCUAAUACGCAGCUCCUCAAAACCAGUGGCGGAGUCUGUUCGUGCUCUGAGCGUAGUAAUUUUUUAUCUCGCUUCUGCAAGCCGGCCAGACGACAGCCAUAAACCGCACCCUCUCGGGGGGCACUUUUUUAAUGGUUGACCUCGGAUCAGGUAGGAAUACCCGCUGAACUUAAGCAUAUCAAUAAGCGGAGGAAAAGAAACCAAACAGGGAUUGCCCUAGUAACGGCGAGUGAAGCGGCAACAGCUCAAAUUUGAAAUCUGGCCUUCUGGGUCCGAAUUGUAUUUUGGUAGAGGAUGCUUUU
rnacentral:rRNA from 1 species